rnacentral:rRNA from 1 species
AGAGUUUGAUCCUGGCUCAGGACGAACGCUGGCGGCGUGCUUAACACAUGCAAGUCGAGCGGUAAGGCUCCUUCGGGAGUACACGAGCGGCGAACGGGUGAGUAACACGUGAGCAAUCUGCCCUUCACUUUGGGAUAACUUCCGGAAACGGAAGCUAAUACCGAAUACGACCACUUCACGCAUGUGAUGGUGGUGGAAAGUUCCGGCGGUGAAGGAUGAGCUCGCGGCCUAUCAGCUUGUUGGUGAGGUAAUGGCUCACCAAGGCUUCGACGGGUAGCCGGCCUGAGAGGGUGACCGGCCACACUGGGACUGAGACACGGCCCAGACUCCUACGGGAGGCAGCAGUGGGGAAUAUUGGACAAUGGGCGAAAGCCUGAUCCAGCAACGCCGCGUGAGGGAUGACUGCCUUCGGGUUGUAAACCUCUUUCAGCGGGGACGAAGCGAAAGUGACGGUACCCGCAGAAGAAGCACCGGCCAACUACGUGCCAGCAGCCGCGGUAAUACGUAGGGUGCGAGCGUUGUCCGGAAUUAUUGGGCGUAAAGGGCUCGUAGGCGGUUUGUCACGUCGGGAGUGAAAACUCAGGGCUCAACCCUGAGCCUGCUUCCGAUACGGGCAGACUAGAGGUAUGCAGGGGAGAACGGAAUUCCUGGUGUAGCGGUGAAAUGCGCAGAUAUCAGGAGGAACACCGGUGGCGAAGGCGGUUCUCUGGGCAUUACCUGACGCUGAGGAGCGAAAGUGUGGGGAGCGAACAGGAUUAGAUACCCUGGUAGUCCACACCGUAAACGUUGGGCGCUAGGUGUGGGACUCAUUCCACGAGUUCCGUG